rnacentral:rRNA from 1 species
GAAAGAUGGCUUUGGCUAUCACUCUGGGAUGGACCUGCGGUGCAUUAGCUAGUUGGUAAGGUAAUGGCUUACCAAGGCGAUGAUGCAUAGCCGAGUUGAGAGACUGAUCGGCCACAAUGGAACUGAGACACGGUCCAUACUCCUACGGGAGGCAGCAGUAGGGAAUCUUCCACAAUGGGCGCAAGCCUGAUGGAGCAACACCGCGUGAGUGACGAAGGGUUUCGGCUCGUAGAGCUCUGUUGUUGGAGAAGAACGCGCGUGAGAGUAACUGUUCACGCAGUGACGGUAUCCAACCAGAAAGUCACGGCUAACUACGUGCCAGCAGCCGCGGUAAUACGUAGGUGGCAAGCGUUAUCCGGAUUUAUUGGGCGUAAAGCGAGCGCAGGCGGUUGCUUAGGUCUGAUGUGAAAGCCUUCGGCUUAACCGAAGAAGUGCAUCGGAAACCGGGCAACUUGAGUGCAGAAGAGGACAGUGGAACUCCAUGUGUAGCGGUGGAAUGCGUAGAUAUAUGGAAGAACACCAGUGGCGAAGGCGGCUGUCUGGUCUGCAACUGACGCUGAGGCUCGAAAGCAUGGGUAGCGAACAGGAUUAGAUACCCUGGUAGUCCAUGCCGUAAACGAUGAGUGCUAGGUGUUGGAGGGUUUCCGCCCUUCA